AUUGAACGCUGGCGGCAGGCCUAACACAUGCAAGUCGAACGGUAGCACAGAGAGCUUGCUCUCGGGUGACGAGUGGUGGACGGGUGAGUAACGUCUGGGAAACUGCCCGAUGGAGGGGGAUAACUACUGGAAACGGUAGCUAAUACCGCAUAGCGUCGCAAGACCAAAGCGGGGGACCUUCGGGCCUCACACCAUCGGAUGUGCCCAGAUGGGAUUAGCUAGUAGGUGGGGUAAUGGCUCACCUAGGCGACGAUCCCUAGCUGGUCUGAGAGGAUGACCAGCCACACUGGAACUGAGACACGGUCCAGACUCCUACGGGAGGCAGCAGUGGGGAAUAUUGCACAAUGGGCGCAAGCCUGAUGCAGCCAUGCCGCGUGUAUGAAGAAGGCCUUCGGGUUGUAAAGUACUUUCAGCGGGGAGGAAGGCGGUGAAGUUAAUAACUUCACCGAUUGACGUUACCCGCAGAAGAAGCACCGGCUAACUCCGUGCCAGCAGCCGCGGUAA
rnacentral:rRNA from 1 species